GUCGUGAAAGGACAGGCAGCUGAACAGGAGAAGUGAAAAAUGCUUCCACAGCAACUUUUCCUUUGUUUGCUUCCGCUGUGUCGUCUUCCAUUUUCCCACUACUGACCUCCUUCCUCUGCUUCUUACUCCAAGUCUAUGGCUGCGCCUCUUCUGCUCUUUCACGUUUCUACAAGCUAGAGUUGUCCGUGGUUACUAGUUUCUCUUAUCUUAGCACUUCAAGUAAGCAUUUUUUCCCCAGUAAUUUAGCAUGUCUGCACACAGGUUUUUGAUAAUUUUCUGAUAUUGCCGAUUUUCUUUACUGGGUAGUUUGAUUCUUGAAUUUUGAAUUCUCGACUAAAAAGUUAACUUUAAACAAACAUUAAUUAUUAUUUCUAUGCACAGGUUUAUAGGUUUAUGUACAAUUUGAUGAAUUUGCCUCUCCUUUAUGCUGGGUAGUUCGACUUUUGAUUUCUAAUUCUUGAUUCUUGUGAAAGAAUGAGUAAUUCUUUAUAUGAUUCAAGUAGAGGAGGAGGAGGUUCAGUUUAAUUUCACGUGUUUUUCCCCCUUAAUACACACUGACUGUUAUGAAAUCAUGAAAUUGUGAAGGUUGCUAUUGUACUAGUCAAAUAUUGAAUAGAGGACUCACUAGGGGAUCCGUUGCUUAGCAAUUUACAGAGAAAGGGAGGCAGAACUCAUCCACUACUUUGUGUCGUUGAUUAGUGUUUCUGCACAAUUAAAUAGUUCUUGACGAUCAUAAUCUGUUUUGUCAUCAACAGGUGAUGCAUAGCCUAGUAAAUCCACCUCUUAUAAGUUGAUUGUCGAGUCAUCAAGUAAGCAACAUGGGAAAUGACCACUAUUGGGCUCAUGUGUGGGGGAAUUAAUUAGCGGUGGGGUUUACUGUAUCAAAGAUUUAAAAAGAAAAAAAUAGUUUUAUUUUCAUCAGUAUACUUAAAUGGUAGCUUUAUGUAGAGAAGGAUCUCUUGUGGGGAGCAAUAUGUAUUGGGCUUAUGCUCGUUUAAGGCAUAUAGCUGUCAGAUUUCUUCCUGUCCUUAAAUUGAGCAAUAGCAGAUAGCGUUUGUGGAGGAUUUAAACUCUUCCCCUGUUUGGUGCAUUUGGAAAAUGGGAGUAGAGAGUGUGGAGAGCAGUAAGCAAUUUUUGGUUUUGGAUGGUCUACCUUGUAUUGACACACUUCAGCUAGCAGAAAGAUCUUAAAAAACUCACCUGCAUUUCUUAAUUUCCAGUUGAGAGAAAUCAUUUCUCUAUCAAGCAAGAGGGUUAGAACAAAAUCUCAGGAAAACAUAGUUUGGUUUUAAGUUUUGGUUGUUUUAUAGCUCUUUGUCAGUCUACACAUUUUUUAGAUGGGCACGGUUUUGACAGUGGACAUGUUUGGUAGUUCUAUUUUGUCCUUCGUGUAGCUCAACUGUUCUUUUCUUCUUGAUACUGAGUAUUAGUAAAAUCUUAUCUUAUCAAAAAAUAAUUUUUCUUUUGUCGCUUUUCAAUGGAGUUUCUGUUUAUCUCUAUAGGAUCCCUACAAAAUCACAUUGGUAUAUUGUGUUGUAUAGAGACCCCCACAUGAUGGCGACUUUGAGUUUGCUCCAAUGAUUCAUGGAAUAGCAUCCUUUUUGGUUUAUAGAUUUAGUGGCUAGGCAUUUUUAGCUGGGUAAUGUGUUGAGUGCAUCUACAUAGAUACUUGAGAGGGCCUCCAAUUUUAUAGUCUUUUCAUUAACAUGUCUAUUUAUUACUAGGCAACCAUUUAAGAUGGUAACUUAAAGAAAUUUCCUAAAACGUACCUUUAUGGUAACCUAAUUUUAUUUUCCUUCUCUAUGUGCAUUGUUUCAAGUAGUUUAUGGUGGCAAGCAUGGGUACCUACUUUGAUAAUCCAACUACUUUGUCAAAAACCUGAACCAGUUUAUACAAAUACCUAAAUUACAACAAUGGAUUUAAAUAAAAAAGAAGGUUUUUAGGAAAAUAGUUUUAUCUGGACCCACAAUAUAGAGUAGAGUGCAUGGCUUCCAUUGUAUCUGUUAGAAUAUGUAAAUAGUAGAACCCUAAUCCAAUGUGUAUUAGGAGUAGGAUAGGUUAU
rnacentral:lncRNA from 1 species